rnacentral:rRNA from 1 species
AGAGUUUGAUCCUGGCUCAGGACGAACGCUGGCGGCGUGCUUAACACAUGCAAGUCGAACGGUAAGGCCCUUCGGGGUACACGAGUGGCGAACGGGUGAGUAACACGUGGGUGAUCUGCCCUGCACUUUGGGAUAAGCCUGGGAAACUGGGUCUAAUACCGAAUAUGAUCAUGGCCUUCAUGGGUUGUGGUGGAAAGCUUUUGCGGUGUGGGAUGGGCCCGCGGCCUAUCAGCUUGUUGGUGGGGUAAUGGCCUACCAAGGCGACGACGGGUAGCCGGCCUGAGAGGGUGUCCGGCCACACUGGGACUGAGAUACGGCCCAGACUCCUACGGGAGGCAGCAGUGGGGAAUAUUGCACAAUGGGCGCAAGCCUGAUGCAGCGACGCCGCGUGAGGGAUGACGGCCUUCGGGUUGUAAACCUCUUUCAGCAGGGACGAAGCGCAAGUGACGGUACCUGUAGAAGAAGGACCGGCCAACUACGUGCCAGCAGCCGCGGUAAUACGUAGGGUCCGAGCGUUGUCCGGAAUUACUGGGCGUAAAGAGCUCGUAGGUGGUUUGUCGCGUUGUUCGUGAAAACUCACAGCUUAACUGUGGGCGUGCGGGCGAUACGGGCAGACUGGAGUACUGCAGGGGAGACUGGAAUUCCUGGUGUAGCGGUGAAAUGCGCAGAUAUCAGGAGGAACACCGGUGGCGAAGGCGGGUCUCUGGGCCGAUAUUGACGCUGAAGAGCGAAAGCGUGGGGAGCGAACAGGAUUAGAUACCCUGGUAGUCCACGCUGUAAACGUUGGGCGCUAGGUGUGGGGUGCCUCUCCGGUGUCCUGCGCCGUAGCUAACGCAUUAACCCCCCGCCUGGGGAGUAC